rnacentral:rRNA from 1 species
AUUGAACGCUGGCGGAAUGCUUUUACACAUGCAAGUCGAACGGCAGCACGGGGCAACCUGGUGGCGAGUGGCGAACGGGUGAGUAAUACAUCGGAACGUGCCCAAUCGUGGGGGGAUAACGUAGCGAAAGUUACGCUAAUACCGCAUACGAUCUACGGAUGAAAGCGGGGGAUCGCAAGACCUCGCGCGAAUGGAGCGGCCGAUGUCAGAUUAGGUAGUUGGUGGGGUAAAGGCUCACCAAGCCGACGAUCUGUAGCUGGUCUGAGAGGACGACCAGCCACACUGGGACUGAGACACGGCCCAGACUCCUACGGGAGGCAGCAGUGGGGAAUUUUGGACAAUGGGCGCAAGCCUGAUCCAGCCAUUCCGCGUGCAGGAUGAAGGCCUUCGGGUUGUAAACUGCUUUUGUUACGGUAACGAAAAGGACUCUGGUUAAUACCUGGAGUUUAUGACGGUACCGUAAGAAUAAGCACCGGCUAACUACGUCGUCCGGCGAGCCGCGGUAACGUGCUACGG